rnacentral:lncRNA from 1 species
CCAUCGUUCUUAUGAAAGUGAAGUCAUCAAUGGGAUCCUUACCUAACAAUUAUUGGAUCCAAUCCCAUCUCCAUCGGAUAGCAUCUCAUGCUAAUAGAGUAGUUGUAUCUUUUCGAUGUAACUGAACUAUUGUAUCCAGUUGAGAACAAUCAACAUCAAGAAGGGCCCGUACAUCUAUAAUGGUGGAAGACCGCUCCACUUAACAUAUGUGAGGAGAUUUAAUUUAGAUCUUUUUGAUUUUAAUUAUUUAUUUACAUUCGAUGUAAAUCCAUAAUUACCACAGAUCUACUUAAGAGAUCCUGACUUGGUUCACCAAGAUCAAAAUCAAGAUGCAAUUGCAACAUAUAUAGUGAACUCAACACUAGGCAUCCAAAACCAAAUUGAUCAGAUAAGUUCAAGAUUGGUGGGAGGCUCCUCGUGCAUAAGCAAUGAUUCUAAUUAAGUAAACACCAUUCUUUCACUUACCUUAGAUACCAAUCGCUCAAUCAGUACCAAAUUGAUUUAGCCCAUUGGUUUUUGCCACCA